GCCUUCUCUCUGACGUCAUGGCGCAGUACCCUUCCACACUGUGGCGAAAGAAGAGAGGUUUUAAUAAAGUAGUCCUCGAGGAAUACUUAACUGAAAAUAGUGCUCCCCCAAGUCAUCAUCCAAGAAGGUCAAUUGGGAUGGAUCCCAGUAAACCCCUGCACUUUACCAUGAGACACAGCCAGGAAAACAACUACUAAUUAAUAAAUAAAGUGCACAAGUUUCAGAAAAUGGGUUCAAUAAAUUUUCUUCUGAUUUACCAUAUCUGGAAGAGUAAACUUAAUUUCCUGAAAAUGUA